GGAGGCUAAAAGGAAGGGAGCGAUAUACCUGACAAAACUAUUGCUUUUAAUCACCAAAAAGCUAGAAGACAUUGGUCCCGCCUCCAUCAAGCUGACUCCUCAGUGCAAUUUGAAGGACGAUACGAAGACACACAGCAGCCGAGGAAUAAGCCAUGCGACCAUCCAUCUCUGUGACUCUUGAGCCUGCGUUGGAGCGAGGGGUCCCAUGGGGUCGUGAUCUCUACACCUUUGUAACUUCAGCAGCGGGCCACAUGAUGAGGACUCUUCAGAAACCCCGAAAAAAACGACCGUCCAAACGGCAGGUCAACCACCGUCGCUUCCUGCACAACAUG